GCGGAAUUAGCUCAGUUGGUAGAGCGUUGGCUUCCCAAGCCGAAGGUCACGAGUUCGAGCCUCGCAUUCCGCUCUA
rnacentral:tRNA from 1 species